UACGAGUGCCUCAAGCGUUAUCCGGAAUCAUUGGGCGUAAAGGGUGUGUAGGCGGUCUUGUUAGUCUUCUGUCAAAUUCUUCGGCUUAACCGGGGGUCCGCAGGGGAAACGGCAAGACUUGAGGGUGCGAGAGGUGAAUGGAACUCAUAGUGUAGGGGUGAAAUCCGUUGAUAUUAUGGGGAACACCAAAAGCGAAGGCAAUUCACUGGCGCAUUCCUGACGCUGAAACACGAAAGCGUGGGUAGCGAAUGGG
rnacentral:rRNA from 1 species